rnacentral:lncRNA from 1 species
UUUUUAAUUUUUAUUCAUAAAACUUCUAUUACAAAAGAUGUUAACUACUCGUUUUCUUGGAAAUAAAACUACACACUCAAUAUAAAGCAAAAAUACAAACUCAAUGAUUAAAAAAUUAGGAAUACAUUAAAGCUUCAACUACUGGAGCCCGUGGGGCAUCAUUCGGCCUCGCCGUGAGCAUAUCUGCGAGACCCCCUUGUAGUUUCUCCAAAUCACUCAUAACUUGACGGACAAAUGUCAUCACCGCGGCAAAGAAGGUUGUACGUGUCAUGUCCUUGCACGCUUGGCACUUCAUGGUAAUGUAGUCAGCGAUGGUUCUGAUCCUUUCUCUAAUUCUGCCUUUUUCUUGAAGUAAUCGCCCUAUCUGCUAGUUCCGAGCUUCUAACACUUGAGAGUCAUGAAAGUGUUGAUUCUGCAAUUGCUGUAUUUCUUCCUCCAUUUUAGUCAUUAGAUUAUAACAGUUCUCUCUAUCAUCUUUGAAAUCUUUAGCUCGUUUGGUUGCCUCAUCCUCAAGAGUAGUUACCUUUCUUCUUAGGCUAGUAAUGGUCCCUUCGUAGUUCCUCUUCAUUUGUUGCACAAAUCAUGCCCAUUAUUUUGCUUCCUU